rnacentral:rRNA from 1 species
UUACGGGAGGCAGCAGUCGAGAAUUUUUCACAAUGGGCGAAAGCCUGAUGGAGCGACGCCGCGUGGGGGAUGAAUGGCUUCGGCCCGUAAACCCCUGUCAUUCGGGAUCAAACCGCCCGGCCUAAUACGUCGGGCGCUGAUAGUACCGGAAGAGGAAGGGACGGCUAACUCUGUGCCAGCAGCCGCGGUAAUACAGAGGUCCCAAGCGUUGUUCGGAUUCACUGGGCGUAAAGGGUGCGUAGGCGGCCAGGUAAGUCUGGUGUGAAACCUCGGAGCUCAACUCCGAAACGGCACUGGAAACUAUCUGGCUCGAGGUUGGGAGGGGGGACUGGAAUUCUCGGUGUAGCAGUGAAAUGCGUAGAUAUCGAGAGGAACACCAGUGGCGAAGGCGAGUCCCUGGACCAAUCCUGACGCUGAGGCACGAAAGCCAGGGGAGCAAACGGGAUUAGAAACCCCGGUAGUCC